rnacentral:rRNA from 1 species
UACGUAGGGUGCAAGCGUUAAUCGGAAUUACUGGGCGUAAAGCGUGCGCAGGCGGUUGUGGAAGACAGAUGUGAAAUCCCCGGGCUCAACCUGGGAACUGCAUUUGUGACUGCACGGCUGGAGUGCGGCAGAGGGGGAUGGAAUUCCGCGUGUAGCAGUGAAAUGCGUAGAUAUGCGGAGGAACACCGAUGGCGAAGGCAAUCCCCUGGGCCUGCACUGACGCUCAUGCACGAAAGCGUGGGGAGCAAACAGG